UGGGGAAUAUUGCACAAUGGGCGAAAGCCUGAUGCAGCGACGCCGCGUGAGGGAUGACGGCCUUCGGGUUGUAAACCUCUUUCAGCUCUGACGAAGCUUUAUUGUGACGGUAGGAGCAGAAGAAGCACCGGCUAACUACGUGCCAGCAGCCGCGGUAAUACGUAGGGUGCGAGCGUUGUCCGGAAUUAUUGGGCGUAAAGAGCUUGUAGGCGGCUUGUCGCGUCUGCUGUGAAAUCCCGGGGCUCAACCUCGGGCUUGCAGUGGGUACGGGCAGGCUAGAGUAUGGUAGGGGAGACUGGAAUUCCUGGUGUAGCGGUGGAAUGCGCAGAUAUCAGGAGGAACACCGAUGGCGAAGGCAGGUCUCUGGGCCAUCACUGACGCUGAG
rnacentral:rRNA from 1 species